GGAAUCAGUCGGGAGCUAUUAACAGUUUAAUUGAUACGCUUUUAUGAAGAAGUGGGUUUUUAAUAAAUUUUUGAAGGAGUGGAGACUGGGUGAGCAUCUAACGGAGGAGGGAAGCGAGCUCCACAGGAACGGUGCAGCAUUCGAGAAGUCUUAGAAGUGGGAGUAUGGACAGAAGAUAGACGUAAGUCUUCAGCAGAGCGUAAGGGCCUAUACGGGACAUAAUUGUGUAUUAGGGAGGAUAGAUAGGUGGGAGCAGCAUUAUGUAGAGAUUUGAAAGCAAGAACCAGAAUUUUAAAUUGACCCCUAUAUCUUACAGGAAGCCAAUGUAGGUACUGAAAGAAGGGUGAGGCGUAGGAGGUGCAGAUGAGCCUCGCCGUCGCAUUCAUUAUGAACUGUAACGACGCAAGUUGGGAGCACGUAAGACCAUUGUAGGGAUCAAUUUCCCGGAGUCGCCAUAAGCUGGACACCAGAAAACUAAGGCGGGACAGGAGCCAAAAAUCUUAACUGUCCUGCCUCAAUAGGGACUAUUGGG